AUGUCAUCAUACAUGCUAGCCCAUCUACCUGGUUUGGUGACUGGUGGCCAUAGACCAGGUACCUCCUUCAAGAAUGUCCACUGGAAUGGUUGUGCCACUGCUAUGAAUGAACAUUUUCACCGCACCGACUUGAUUGGAACCCACAUCACAAAUCACACAAGGACGUGGAAAAGGAAGUAUAAACAGAUAGGGCACCUCAAAUCAUUGAGUGGUGCACUUUGGGAUGAAGAUAACUUUAUGAUUGUUCUUGAUCAUGAGCAUUACACAAACUAUAUUAAGGACCACAAAGAAGAUGAACCCUUCCUGAACAAGCCUAUUAAACAUUAUGAGGAGAUGAUGGUUAUCGUUGGAGCAGGCAUGACUACGGGGCAAUAUGCAAAAGGCUCAAGUGACCCUUUUGCGAUGGAGGUGAUUGAUCUUGAAGAACAGAAAACCAACAAAGCUACUGCCUCGAAUGAAGAGGUUGCCCAAUCACACACUUGUGAUGAGUCAGCCGCUCCCAAGUUGAAGAAAGCCAAACUAAUCCUUUUGUAG
rnacentral:rRNA from 1 species